UGUCAUGUCAACAAGUAGUGUUUUUAAGGAUCACAUAAUUCUCGGCGAGAAAAGGGGUGUCACAUAAAUGUAGUUUACUGUCUCAGUAACCAGUAAGCAGGUCAAACUGAAAAAACAAUAUGCCUAAAAUAACACAGAGACUUUUCAAAGAUAUUUUCUGUUGCUGACAAGUGGGUUCUUCUACAAUCCAUGAACCAAAAAGAAUUUCUGAACAUUUAGAAUGUUACCAAAAUUAUUAACUUACUACUGAAAUUUAAAGUUUAGAAUUCUUCUUAGUUUAUGAAUAUGUUAGGCGUUUUACUUGCAUAUCGCUUCAAUGCUUGUGAUUGUCUUGUUUUCAAUGAUACAGAAGAACACAUUAAUAUAUUUUUUUUCAUAACUACCAUAAUAUCAUCAGACAAUAAGCUAAUUCUCGUUGAAUUAAUUAAAAUAUGUCAUGGUAUCAUCUCAGAAACUGCAGGUCAUAGACACAACCAACAUACAAGAACAUUAAUUACACUUCUUGCACUCAGAAAAUACAAGGCAGGCAAACGGUACACAUCAAUCCAAGGCCCCAAAGUCAAAUGACUCACUAAAAUGCAGAAGGUCCCCACAAGAUUUUAAUUGCAUCUGGUGGCACACAUGGUUCCCACAUGAGUGCACCAUACAUGCUAAAAUCUUGUAGAACAUGCUUGCAAUUAUUUCAUCCUUAAAAAGAGGGACACAGAUUUGAAUCUUUGAAUAUCCUCCUGAAUCUUUUACAUGCAGCACUUGUCUCUUAUGAUCUCCAAAAAAACGUAGAAGUCUAACAAAGACACGCAAGUGCAUAAUAAAACAAAAUAAAAUGGAACUUGUGAAAUGCAACUACUACUACUGAAUAUCAAAGAAUUAGUGCAUGCUGUAGUAUUUGGUGUUAAAGACAUUGUAUUUCUAUACUAAAAUACAUAAGCAGCAAUUGACAUCUUAUUGAAAGAGUGAAUUGCCACCCCAAUAUAUCAAGACAGUGUUGGUCUGUUGGACAUGUAAUCUUUUGCAUGUGAGAAUAUUGCACAAAAUCAUAGCAGCAAUUACUUGUUCAAAAGAUAAUAUUGCAUUAUGUAUUUAUUUCAUAUGGUUAUCACCAGUUGCCACAGCAUUUUGGAUCUUAAAUAGAUUUUGGAGGGACAAAAGGGAGAAAGAAAAAUAAAUCGGUGGAAGGAUUUGGCUAGUUAACCUUCCUUAAGAUUCUAACCAUUAAUUCUUAGCGUAUAAACAGUUCCUAAAUUGGAUGGCCUUAUUUCUUUUCAUGCCAGUAGUUUUUCUAGGUUGAGAAGACAACAUUUCAGGGCUUUAGAGAAACAAGUUAAUGUAGCGCUGCAGGGUAAAGUGUAUGAGUGCACAUGCUGGAAUAUAUAGAGUGAAAAGCACCAUACAUGCAAUCUCUCGCAUUUUUACAAAACAGUAAGUAACGGAUUUAUCUGUUUGAAUGUUUCUCCUAAACCAACCUAUUAACAUCAGUAGCACUGUAGCAGUAUGUUUAAAAAAGAAAAGAGAAAAGGAAACAUCAGUGGAUAGUUGUAGAUUGUCAGAGGAAAUCAUGGAACCAACCAUUGUGUAAUUCUUUCUAUCAGUGCUCAGACACAGAUGGCAGAAGAAACAUGCUAGUUUACCUCAAUGUAGCCAAGCUGUUCGGGAUCAAGUUCCUCCAUGAUCAAGGCCGCAUAUUCCUCUGCUUGCUCCUUGAGUCUUGACAGUUUAUUAGCAGAAGCACUUAACAUAAUAAUCUGGAAAAGAAAAAAGCCAAACCCCACUAUUAAUUUAUUGAUCACAAACCAUCCUCACAUAUCGAGCAAGAAAAGAUAAAAAAAAACAACCUGUCUCGGCCCUUUACACAAUGACCUCAGCGAAAUGAAUAAAUUAAGCUCUAAUCCAAAAGUUGCCUCUUUCCACGCAUCAUUUGAACAGAUUAUAAUAAUUACGCAGCAUGACAGAAAUGCCCCCACCAACUAUACUGUAUUAAUCUUCAAACUUCCAUCUCCAUCCAUAGUAGGAGUAAAUUUACAACACACCCCUCCCAUGUUCUAGAACAAGGUACCUCAAUGUAUAGAAAAAACUAGUGUGUGCAGACAGCCAGUGCGGGUGCUUUCCGGCCAGUUCGGCCAAGGGGGCCUCCAUUAGUCAGGAAUUCUUUUUUCCAAGCUACGCGUUCCAUAAUUCUUAUGCGUAAAUUCAGGAACAUAAACUUGCAGACAACAAAAAACAAGUACACACACCUACAGAGCUGGGGAAAUGGACAGCACAAUCAUCCAAAUACUCCAUAAACCAAAAUAUCCCAGGAAAACAGUUCGAAAAAAUAUAUCCCCAAAAGACAGGAAAAUAUGGAGUAAUACAGGAAGUAAAAAAAAAAAAAGCAACCUCAGCAUUGGACUAUUAUUACCUCUUUCACCUCAGCCUCCGUAAUAUGGCCAUCUGCGUUCUUAUCCACCCUGAAUAAAUCGCAUACCAAAACGGAGUCACAUUAACGGAACAAAUCAAUAAUCAGUCCACAAAUUGGUACGGCACGGUAGUUACAUAUCGAAGAAGAUCUGGAGGCGCGAGUCGAAGCUGUUGUCGGUGAUCUGCUGCCAGAUCUCGCGCAGUUCUUCCUUGUUGAUCUUGUCCACCUGCAUCUGCCGCCGCCGGCUCAAGGUGUCGAACAGCUCCAUGGCGAACUCCUUCGACUCCGUCAUCCCUGCAUCUCAAAUGCAGCUGGGGAAAGUAAGGAGACUGGAAUGUUUGGGAAGGGGAUGGGGGCGAUUGGGGAAGAGAUUGACCUAUGCAUUGCGGGAAAUCGUCGCGGGAGAGGUAGCCGUCGCGGGCGAGGCGGUCGAAGUUGGCCUGGACUUCGAUCCACGCGUUGCUGGCCUUGUUGGGGCCGCUGAUGAAGCGGAGGCCGCGGAUCGCCCGCUGCGCGCCGGACUUGGUGCGGUCGAGCUGCGCGCGCUGCCGGCGCUCCGCGCGGGCCGCGAGGGCGGACUCGAUGCCCGGCGGGGCGGUGGUGGUGCUCUGGGUGCGCGUGAAGCGCUUGGUGAGGUCCUGCGAGAACUGGCGCGCGCGGGCCAUGGCCUCGGCCUUGAGCUCCUGCGAGAACUGCAGCAGCCGGUGCGACGACGUCCGCCGCAUCGCCGGCGACCUCGACCGCGACGCCACCCCGCCAGGCGGCUCCGCCCGCCUCGGCGGCGCCACCGCUGACGGCGACGCACCCGACGACGACGCCACGGCCGCUCCCCCCGCCGCCGGCUCGACGCUCCUCAGCACAAUGGUGUCGUCCUCCUGCAGGUCGAGCGUCACCUCGACCAGCUCCUCCCCGUCGUCGGAGCUCCGGUCCGACCCGCGCGGCGACGACCCCGUGCUCAGCGACCGCGGCGUCGUCACACCAGACCCCCAUCGCGGCCGCACCGGCGUAGUGCCGCCGCCGCUGCCGCUGCCGAUUCCCGCCCUCAUCACUCCCCCUCCUCCCCUCCUCGCACGCACGCAAUGCGCCGCUCCCUUGGCUGGCUGGCUGGCUGGCUGCAGCUAGCCCACCACCAAACUAGUUUGACGAUUCGGGAGGAAGAUUAGAUAUACUCCUAGCUCACAGAACAGUCCAAGCGAACGCGACCUAAUGCAACGCGGUUGCAGUAGGAGUAGUAGUAGCUUGCAGCCACCACCACCACUCUCCCGUUCUCUCUCUCUCCUGCGGAGAAAAGCACAGCCUCGUGUCGCGGAAAGCGAGUCCAAGCCGGGGCCGCGCCGCGGAGAAAAGCGGAGACAAGCACAGCAAUAUAUCGGGAGCAAGCCAGCCGCCCCCGAGAAAACAUAACUCCGCGCCUCCACGUUAAAGCCGUGAGCUCACUCACUUGAAGCUAGUACACGAGGUGGAUUCACGUUUCACAUGGUGAGCCGUCGCGUUUGGUGGUGGUGUGACGAUGAGAGGCUCGAGCCCGAACCACGGCGCGAGAGCGAAAUUGACCCGCAACCACCGCGCGCGAUCGCCGGCUUGUGGCUUGUGGGUUGUGGCCACGGGAGCAAAUCCAACAGGUGAUCGUAUAUUAUCUGGCACGACCUUGCGCGCCCGGAGUGUCCGUCCCCUCGCGUGGGCUCGUGGGCAUGCGUGCGCCAACCCAUGCACUCCACCGCGCGCCAGCAUCCGUGUGCACCGCAUGCCGCGCGUUCGCGUCGGCCUCUCGAUCGUCCGGUAGCACGGCGCGCCGUGGCGUGCCGUGCCGCGCAUCGCGCGUGCGUGCGUGGCUGCGCGUAACGGGCGCGGGCGUGUCGGCCGUCGGGGUGGGCGUGACCUAACGUGGGCUGCGCGUAACGUGGCUAGGCGAGCGAGACGACUGAGAUCGGUGCGCGCGGCUCGGCCGGCCAGUGCCGCACCUGGCAAGGCAAGAGCUACUACACACCAGUACACAGCCAUGAUGAGCCGCGAGCAUGUGCGUGGCGGGGAGCGCCGUCCGGUGGCUGCCCACCCAGUGCGAUAUCACAUCGGAUCACCGGGUCGUCGGGGCAGGCAGGGCGACACCCAUUGAUUGCCUCGUCGAAACAUUCAUUCCUGCCUACGAGUAGUUUCCUCUCCAGCUCCUCGUGGUGAACAGCAUCAUUUCAGUUAGCUCCAGUGGAGCGCUUGGCCUGAAGCUGCCGCUGCUGGUGCCCGGUGAGUGAGCGAGCACUGAACAGAAAACCGCAGCUUCCUUCGUUAAAAAAUGAGUGGUAGUAAUAAAUUUCGUCCACGAUUUUCACGUAAUUCUACAGCUCUACCGGGAAAUUUCUAAUCUGCUAGCUGACAAGUUCUACCAACUACCAAAGGGUUAUUGUUCUUUUGUGCGGAAAAAAAUUGGUGAUCGGAUUAAACGAGAAUAAAAUUGGUGAUACGUAGUGCUUCUCUAGAUUUACUGAGGCGACGAAAACAAGGAUGAAACGAGGAAAUUUGUAUAUUGAUUACGGAUAUGAGUUGUUAGCAUCUAAUGAUUUGCCUAUGUGCUGAUCAGAUAUUCAACUAACAUUCUAUGAUGAGCCAGCUCAUGGACACAAAACAAAUAUAUACGUGCAUCGAAUAAAUAUCAUGUUCUCAAAAAAAUAAAUAUCAUGUUGGUACGCAAAGAGAUGAACAAUUCUACAGGAUACUUAAAGAAAAACUGGAAAAACAGUGGUGAACUUAGCAAGGUUGGUCAAUGGAUCCCCUACGUCAAUGACUUUGUCUUAGCAAGCUAGUAAGCACCAUCAUUGUAGGUUUAUAACUAACCAAGGGAGCUUAGUGGAAGGAUAGUCGAUAGCUUACUCACGUCUCUUUGCAUAUGCUUUGCUCUUAAUCAAUAGAUUCCAGCUGAUAUGAUGAUAUAGAAAUAGGCCAUCCAGCAUGCACAAGAAUGAAUGGAGAACAGAAUAAAUAAAGGGUCCUAGCUGACAAUGCUAUCGCAUCCAUGUUCUACCUCUGACUUUCCAUCAGGGAGGCCUUGGAUAUAGUCAUAUGGUAUUACCUAUCAGAGUUGCUUAACAAUUUCUUCAUUACUUCGUUGCAGGAUUUAACCUAGAGUAACAUUUAAAAGUACGACAGAUUGCUAACUAUAGAUACCAAAACAAAGGAGAAAAUAGGCUCGAAAUUUUUUGGUCUCUGUAUUUUAAUUUUGUUUCAUGGGAUCGGAGAAAAAGUGGUAUUUUAGAUUACCUAGAUGCUGCAACGAGAUUAUUGGUGCUAUUAGCAAAUUCAACACGUACUAUUUCUUAAGUAACUGUCGGUCAGUUUGGAUACGGAUGCAGGUAUAGCGGAUUCGUCUGAACUCAAGAUGUAAAUGCAACAUAUAUGAACAUAUUACCAGCAACCUGCAACAGAGCAAGUUUAAUAGUAUAGCCUACUACUAGUUUCAAUUCAUCUAUAGCCAAUUCAUACAAUAGUUGCUUAAUAUACUAUUAAUAUAUGGUCCCACCUGUCAUAUGUCUAGGAGUCCGCGCUGCAGCUGGCUACAGAUCUGUAGCCCACUACUCUUAUCUCUCAUCUUUUAUCUUAUUAAAUAUGCUUAUAGCUCACUAAUAGUCUGCUCUAAGAGUUUUAUCUCAGGCUGUUACUGAGCAUUGGCUUCUGCUACUUGUUACUACUAGCUAUCAGGUAUUAUGCCGACCUAUAUGUCCCUUUUUUUCCCAUAUGCUGAAAUCGACUGCCAAUUCAAUGCGAUUUGUUGAGCUAAGCUCUGGACAGGCUGUGGGUGACUGAAUUUCUCGCCUCUAGCCCAAAGGCCUACGCGUACAGUAAUGAUCCAAGAAAGGAUCAAACACGGCGGGGAGAAAACGACGGGUUGCCUAUUGCCCGGAAGAGAUCUCUUUCAAUCCUUUUUUAGAUUGUCAUCGUCUUACCUAACAGCAGGUUAAUCUCAUGAGUUCCUCAGAUGAUGCAGAAAGUAACGGUAAUACAACGUGGUGGAUUGUGACCCCUCGUACAAACUGGUAAAAGUUUUAAUACACAGAACUGGGAUAAUUUGCUAACAUGUUUGGAAAAAUAUUCAGAAACCAUUCCAUCUAAAAGCAAAGAUCAACCUAUAGUUUUGUGUGUUGGGUUAAGUUGUCUGGGUCUUCCGAAAGCAGGGACAAGACUACAAGAGACAUUAGAAAUGUUCGAAAAAGAAGAGGCAUUAGAAGAUGGGUAACUUGUCAGUUUGAGAAUGACAUAACAGAUUUAACAGAACAGUUGAUUGAAGAAAACAAUUUUACAGAACAUGGUAGGUUGGUACCUGGCAGCAGUACUAGGAAAUGCCACGAUUACGCAGGCACAUCAUAUAGCAACAUGCAUGCAGUGGUUGUCGAUGAAGCACCUGUUUUUCUAAAGAAAUAUGAUUAGAUGAUGCAAUCCACUCACCAAAUUUGAGAUGUUAAGGUUACAUGACUUCAGCUGGAGGAAAGUACGAAGAAAGAGUAGGCUGAGUUCGGAUGGGGGAGAUGGGAACCCAACUUCUGCGUACGGAAAACGGAGCAGUCCAUUAACGCGUGAUUAAUUAAGUAUUAGCUAUUUUUUUAAAAAAAGGGAUUAAUUUGAUUUUUUUAAGUAACUUUUGUAUAGAAACUUUUUACAAAAAAAUGCACCGUUUAGCAGUUUGAAAAGCGUGCACGCGGAAAACGAGGGGAAGGGGAUGGGAAAAGGUGCAUGCGAACACAGCCUAAAGAGAACAUAUCAGUUUCCCAUGUGAUUAGAAAAUAAGUGGCCACCUGGCUGCCUCCCAAGCUUAUUAUGCAGAAAGUACAAAAACAAUGAUAAUCAUCCAUUCUGUUAUAUUUAUCAAGGUAAACAGAGCACAUUAUCCAAAAAAAACCAACAAUAACAGGUAAGAAGAACACAUGUAACUAGGUGUUUCUCUUCCACAGCUUUCCAAACAGAAUUACAUAGUAUUACAAAUGCAAUAUCUGCCAUUGAGUUUCCUGUACGGCUGCAGGCUGAAGGCAACAAUACCAGUUUCAUUCAGACGUGAUUGUAACAAGACUUGGGGAGGUUUGUUUUAAAGAAUACUCGCUAGCCCCUCCUUCUUAACAGGCCUAUUUCCAGGGAAUGCAGUGCGAGAGACGUCGACAAGAGCUUUGAAGCUGUAUGGCUCAUGCAUCGACAGCUCUGAAAGUACCUUCCUGUUGAGUUGGAUAUUCUCCUUCAUCAAUCCAUGCAUGAAAUUGCCAUAGUUCACCUGGGGUAGUCAGUUAAAACAGUAUAUUAGACAUAGGGCCUGCAGUGCGUGACCUUGAAAUCCAAAAGUUAUACUUUUGAUAGAUUAUUCGGCCUAUACUCAAGGAUAAAAGAGCGAUGGAUAAAAAAAAUGAUGUCCUUGAGACGUGAGACACUGAGACUUCAAGCAUUACUGGAUACGCAGUUACAUACCCCAUGGAUUCGUGUACCAGCAUUGAUGCGCUCAAUCCAAAGAGACCGCAUGUCCCUCUUCUUGUUGCGCCGAUCCCUGUAUGAGUAUUGCAAUGCUUUCUCCACCCUCUCCCUAGCAAUCCUUAUGCAGUUUUUUGCCCUUCCCCUGAAUCCUUUUGCUAACUUAAAAAUUUUACCCUUGUUCAUCUUCGAGUUCCUGGACUGUUGCACAAUCUUCUUUUCAGGGAACUGAAACAUCAAAAUUGAAAAAUGAACAAACAUUAGAAUUUAGUAUGAAUUAAUCAUAUAGGCAUUCGGACUACACAUACAUCUGGCUGACAUUUAUCCCCAACUAGGUAUGCAUAGAAAUGAACCAUGCCAGAAGCCCAGGAGACUAUUUUCCUAAAUAGCUUGUUAUACAACACCUUGCAAAAUUACUUAAUCUAAAAUUCUAAAACGCUGCUUAUUAUUCAGAAGAUUAGUUCCCUUGGUUCUGCUCUAUUGGUUUUACACAAAACCCAGUAACAGCACAAAGUAAAAAAUCAUCCCACCCACAUCAGCAUGUGGUAGUUCACGCCUCUAAUAUAUACUCCGUAUGAUUUAGGAACCAUGACAAACAAUGUGCCAUCACGAACAGAUCUGAUUAAAACAUGUACAGGCGCACUUGGUUAUCAGUUAUCACAGAUCUCACACGAACAGGGUUUUACCCCAAAAUAAAUCCAAUGCACUGCUAACCAUCAAACGACGAGGUAAAAUCUUUGGCCAGUUCAACCGGCAUAAUCUCACAGAACCAAGGCACUACUCCAGUGACAAUUUCUGCAUUACUCCAGUAAACAUUUUCUGCAGCAACAUCAGAAAGCUCCUUCGAUCCAAACCCACACCUAAGACUCUGACGAGCUCCAAUCGCUGAAAACUGGUCCAAUUCGACCAUAAAUUCCCCAACUGCCAGUUAAUCCCCCACCACCCAAAGGUCGUCGUCCGUGCCUAAAAGCCUAAAACCCUACCUCUGCGGCUUCCGCACAGAGAGGAGAAGCACCGAAAGCUCUUCCAGCCAGUACGCAGUAGAGCGAGGGAAGCGGAAGAGGCUUACCUGCUUCCUGGCCGGCGAUAUCCCGCCCGCGGUGGCAGCCGAUCUCCGCCGCGCGAGCGCUCGCUGGGACGGGUUGGUGAGAGGGCGGCGCGGAGGGAGGCGGCUCGGCCGGCGGCGAGAUGGUUAUGCGGAGCUUAAGUGGGCCUUAGCUGGUCCGUCCUUCUUCCGUAGCCCCUCAGCUGAGUAAUUCAUGGGCCAAAUCUAGUGCCUUUUAUUAUUGCAUGGGCCAUAAGGCGGCUAGAUGUUUGGGUUUGGGCCUCCCCUGUCGAGAAUUUUUUCUGUGGAGACGGAUUGAGGUGUUUUAAGUUUGCCUCGUGGGUGGUUUAGGUUAGGUUGUUCACUUUGUUUCCCAAAUCACAUUUUGGUAAUGUUAAAUUUUGAUCUAUUUUGGUAGUACUAAAUUUCGUAGUGUUGAUUUUGUUUGCUUCGAUGUCUUUGCCAAAUUUUGGUAGAGUUUUAAGAGAGAAAGCUUCUAUAGAACUGCUAAAAUUUUGUAAGGUAGUAAUGGUUAAAUGUGUUUAAUUAGUUUGUUGUCUUAUUUAAAUUUGGUGAUGUCAAAAUUUAGUAAGGUUGAAAGUGGAAACAAACUGAAUAAGGCUUAAGUUUUCUUCAUGUCCCUCAUCUUAUGGUCGAAUUUCAAUCACAGUAAUUCCUCAACCGCAAAGCCGAAUAUAACGCAUCCCUCAUCUCCUAAUACCAGUGGAAAUGCCAUCUCAAGGUUGUAUUCAACCCGGUUUUUAGUUGACGUGGUGCUUAUGUAACACUCUAAUAGAAAAAUUAUGAUGGACCUCAUGUAUCAAUGUAAAUUUCUUUAGGACAUUGUAAAUUCAUUGGGAUUUAUAGAAAACAAUGAUUAUUAAAUACAUAUAAAUAAAAACAUGAAAGAUUCGUAUACAUAUAUAUUUGCUCGAACAAAUUACAAGGUGCUAGCUGAAGCACAUAUAAAGUACAUUUUCUGUAAGCUUUGUGAACAUCAGGAGACAUGAACGUGUAAAUAUCUAAGUGAUUUAUAUAUUAACACUAUCACUUGACCGUGUGUACAUGUAUGUAUGAGUAAGCAGUAGUAGCAGUGUAAGCACUAUAUGAUGGGAGGUAGGACAACCCUUUUUUCCUUCUCUUUCCCAUCCGAGUACGUAUAAUUAAUUUGGCUGUAUAGAUCGACUUAGCUUGUCAAGUUAUAUAUGCAGUUUUGUGCACGAUUAGAGCUUGAUUAGAAGUGGAUUACACGGUUGAUUAAUUAAUUAAUUUAUUACAGCUGCGAGAGGAGCUGGAGCUGCCUGAGAAUGGGACUGAGCGCUUCCAUGAGCUUCUCGCACGGGUGGUUGUGGACGCCCUCGUACGUGGUCACCACGAUGCCCCUGUCCUUGGCAAGGCGUUGCACCUGCUUCUUCACGUUGCAAGUGUGGUGCGUGCACCGGUAGUAGCUCCUGUGAUAUGUCUCGUCAGUACUUGGCAUAAUGACAUCCACGUAUAUGAGUGAACAGAGUUAAUUAAUCAUGUUGUACACUUGUACGUACAUGAGUGUAGCUAGCUGAUUAUUGUUGAACGAUUUGCAAUGGAUGCACGAAGUGCCAUGGAACACGUAUAUGCCUAUCUAUUGUUGACUAAUGGUGCACCCCUAUCCCUUUAAUUUAAGAUCUUUAUACUCUGUUUUUUUAUUUAACAUGAACUAUAGAGGAAGUAUGUUAGUAUAUGUUAAUAAGUUACAAUGAUAGGCCAAAUAUGACACUAUUAUAAUAGGAAAAAAUACGAAUUACCCUCGCCCCUCCGAACUAUUGCAGUAGUACGAUUUACCUCCUAAACUACAAUACCAGACAUUUGACACCCCAAACUCUCAAAAUCGAAUAAAUUACCACCCUAACUAGAUUCGAAGCGGUUUUCAGCCUACGUGGCACACACGUGGCGAUACAGUCAGCAAAAACAAAUAAAAAACGGUGGGGCCCACCUGUCAACACUUUUUUUCUCUCCUUCUCUGCCUCCCCCCUCUCUUUCUCUCUCUCUCUCUCUGUGAACAGAGGAGGCGGCGGCAGGCGAAGAGCCGAGGACGGUGGCCGGAGGGGGGGUAGGACGAUGGGCAGGGAGCCGAGGACGACGGCCGGAGGGGGCAGAGGCAGCUGCGAAAGGCAACGGCGACGGCGGCGGGACAUGGAGCGAGACGGCGGUGGGAUCCUCCUUCCUCCUUCCCCCUCCUCGUCUCGCGCCGCUGCCCACCGCCCGCCUGCCGCCGACUGUUCGUUCGUCCCGGCUUCCCCUCGGUAGCAUGGGCGCAAAUGGCAAAGACGCGGUGGCGAUGGUGGCGGCGGGGGAGAGGCCCAUGGGGGUGGCGAGGGUCGUCACGGUGGCGAGGCUCCCCCGGACGAUGGUGGCGCUCACGCUGUGGCUGCGCGGCAUCCGGGGGGGAGAGAGAGAGAGAGCGACCGGGGAGAGAGAGAGGUAUGACAGGUGGGCCUAGGAAGGGUUUUUUCUGAUUGGAUUGCUACAUUGGCGCCAUGUGUGCAAGCUCAAGUCAAAACCGUACAAAACAGUAUCGAGGGGGGUAAUUCGUCCGAUAUUAAAAGUUUAGGGUGAGCAAUGUCUGGUUUUCGGGUUCAAGGGGUAAUUCGGUCGACUGUGAUAGUUCAGGGGAGGGAGGUAAUUCGUACUUUUUCCAAUAUAAUAUAGGCUAGCGAUGUACCCUUCCAAUCAAUAAUGUCAGUGGGCCUGUUCAGCAAGCUGGCUGCGACAACUGCAACUGCACCGUGUGCGUGCGACACUGUUGGUGUCGGCUGCGCUGCAGCUGCAGAACAGGCCCAGUACUCCCAAUAUAUGCUCUCUCGAUCUGUUGUGCACUCAUGGCACCAUUGCCUCGCCGUCCUAGCGUAGCUUCCUCUAUAUCCUACUAGGAGUUCCCCUCUCCUUCCCUUUCUCCUAAACACCAUCCUACCUUUUACCCUUACUUAACUAACAUGCUGUAGAGAAGACAAGAGCUUGUAUGAAUUGGAGAGCAUGAUGAACUGAUGCAUGAAUUUUCAAGCGGGAUAUAUAUCUGAAGAUUAAAAAGGCAUUAUAUUUACACCCCCCAAAAAAAAAGUUCAUUCAAACGUUAUUUAUCAUCUCCAUUUCUUUCCAAAUAUUCAAAACUUUAGGAUAAUUUACAUCUAUACUUCUUUAAAAAAUAGUACUGGUGGUGGUGAGUGGUGAAUCUUUCACUACCCCACCACCAACUCCUUACCCUUUUGGAGUAAAGAACAUGUGGUGCCAAAAGUCCCACAUGUCAACCGCCCCACCACCCUAUCUAUUUUUUUAGGAAAGAAAUAUGAUAUUGUGAAGCUGUAUGACCCAUAUAUUAGUCAUAAAUAUAUGUAAAAUUUAAGAAAUGAUGUAUAAAAAAAUAAUGAUAAUAGUGGCUAGGUUAAUGAUCAUUUCAUCAAUUAAAAUAUCGUUGCAGCACACAGGCAAUAUUAUAGUUCCUCAAGAAUUUGUGUAGUAACUGUUUUUGGCCCUAAUUAAGCCUCUCAUCACAUAACCCCCUCCACCCUUCCGGCCUUCCCCAAUAUUGCAUGGUUACCUUGCCAGCUUGCCUACAUCGAUCGGCAGGGCUUCCCUCUCUCCUAUCCCUCUCUCCUAUAGCUGCUGCUCGCUGCCUCCCGUGCGAUCAAGCCAUGCAUCCUCACCAUGUUUUGCCUCGCCCUUCGAUGGCUCACACACUAUUGAAUCCUCUAAACUCACCAAUCAACUCCCUCAAACGUACUAUAUAUUGACAUUAUCCAUUAGCCUCAUUCUCUUGCACAGCCAAGGAUGUGCCCAUUGUUGCCUUCGCCAUCAAGGCUUUCAUUGUGAAUCCGCUUGCCCUAUCCCAAAACUAGCCACCCCAAUCUCAAUAAGCUAAUCCAGCUGGUAAAUUUUCGAAGUCAUUAAAUAUUGAUCAUCUGUAAUUCUUCUCUAUAUCUCUCCAUAUCUUUCAUACAUAGGCUAGAGUCCAUGACACAUGUCUGUAUUUUCAUUGGAUCCGUAAUAUAUAUAGGUGACAGAUUUUCUCAAAUAUAUUAUUUUAUUUUACUAGCCAAAUACUCAUACACUACGGAUUAAAACAAAAUAAUAUUAAAGGUUUUUGGGACAAUUUCAUCCCUGUAGAUCUUAUAUUGUACAGAUGAAAAAUAUGAUAGAUGGAUUAUUCUAUAACAUUAAAAUACAUGAAUAGUUGGUAGAAAACAUGAUGAAGUAGGCGUGGAAUAAAAAAAAUAAAUGAGGUGGUGGUGGUGAUGGCAGAUUCACUGCCACCAGCAUUGCCCUCUUUUAAAAGGAGUAUAGAUUUGUUUUCAUUUUAUAAACUGCAUUAGUUUUAUGGAACUAUUUAUUUUUAGGCACUUGAAAAAUAUGAACAAAUUUCGACCAGUUUUUGACGGCCUAAAUUGAGCCAAAAGAUUUGUGCGCUACACUAACCUUAUCAUAUUCCCAUUUCCUACUAUUCCACAACUCACUCACUAAUGUGAGUCAUGUACGGGCAAAUGGUGUACAUCGAAGAUCACGCCUCCUUAUUGAGCGCCAUUGUCUCCCCUACGUUAAAGUACCGCCCCUAACGUUGAUGACACCGAAAUGUGCCAACAACACCUGUAAGCUAGGACAAGCAAACGGGCCUCCUCUCCGUUCCCUCCCCUCCCAUCUCCUCCUCUGGUACUCCCCAAACGAGGCAGUGGCGAGGUGCACUAGCGCCACCAUCUUCCCCACCCUCGCUGCCAACCGUACCCACUAGGCCACUACCCUUCUCCAACUCCGUGGCUCUGGAACGUCUCGCCAACUGUCUUUCUUCACCACUCACAAGUAACAAUCAUCACUAUAAAGGGAAACACCCCUCCACCUCCCCUCCAAUUUCGACCCCACUGCAAACCAUAAUCUGUAGGAAAUUUUUAUCGUCCAGCACCCCCCCCCCCCCGAGGUACCAAAUCUAGGCCGUUCGUUCGGUGAGAUCUAACGGAUAUGAUUGCACAGUAGCUUGCGGUACCAUUUUUAUCCCUGGCACGGUACCGCUUCGCCAGGUGCGGUGGAAGGGUAGCGAGGUCUUUUCACAUCAUUCUGUAUCGAUCUGAAGGUAACCCUAACAAAUCCCUCGGUUGCGGCAACACCGGCGCAUACGCCGGCAGAUGCUGUCGAGGCUAGGCAAGACUGAAACGGCGGCAGUUUGCUUCCGGCGAUGUAUGGUGGUUGCUCCGGCGAUUCAGACCACGGCGCGACAGCCUUCCCCCUCUGGGAUGGAAAGCUUCGCUUCACUCAAGUCGGCCAAGACGGCAGAACGAAUGAUUUGGGGCGCGAUUUUUUGGCGGCUAGGGUUUCGGAUUUGGGGUCGAGGUUUCUUCGGCGGCGCUAGCUCUCGAGUCCGAAAAGAAGAGGGCGGCGCUCUUGCGGGAGAGAAAAUCACGCUACGGGAUAGAUGAGGAGGACAAACAACGCUUCUUUCCCUUUUCCAAUCCUACCCACGCGAAAUCAACGGCCGGAUGGGUUUUGGUACCGCGUGGUACAAGUACCGAGCGGCAGGGUUCACAAUUCGACGAAAACUAGUUGAAUUCUACAAAAUUUCGACGUUUCGAUACGGCUCGGAAUUAAGUUUCGAUUGGAAUUUCGAAGGUUAAACAAUAGAUUUGGUCGAAAUUUAUCGAAAACCGAUCGAAAUUUAUCGAAAACCGUGAUAUCGAUGGGGUUCGAAAUUUAGUGGUCAACCGGUAAUGUAAACCCUGCCGAGGGGUAUAAAACGCAGGUUCUCUGUUGCAGUUUGGGUGUUGUCGACGUCAGAGAAGAGAAGGAGCUCGUCGUCGCUAUAAUUGAAGAGAAGAUGGCCCGUCGUCGUAAUCUUCACCGGAAGGUUGCCCCUCCUCCCUCUUUUGCGCUCCUAAAUCCAGUGCCAGGUUAAGGUAACUAAAAUUCAUAGCAAUUCCUUUGUUCUAGCCUUCUAGGUAUAGUAGCCCCAUUAAUUAAUGCAUUUUCAACGUCAAUAUUGUCCAUACGUACGUGUAGAUGCACAAGCCAUGAAUGGAUUCAUGCAAUAUAUAUCAUGCAUGAGUAGCCUGUAGGCCCUGUACACGUUAGCCGCUAGCUAGAAAUUAAGAACGCAAUGUAUAUAUAAUAUACCUGGGGAAGUCGCUGUUCUUGACGGCCUUCUGCCCGUACUUCCUCCACCGGUAGCCGUCGUCGAGGAUGUCGUUCUCGCUCCUCGUGUGGAACGCGAACCUCGGCGUCCUCCCGCCGCCGCCCGCCUUCUUCCCGUUGCCCCUCCCACGCCGCGUGGUCGUCGCCGCCGCCGCCGCCGCCUCCGUAACGCCACUGCUCGUGACGGUGCUGCUCCCUCCGCAGCUGCUUUCCGCCGCCGCCGCCGCCAUCACUCCUCCGCCAAGAUCAUCCUCGCCCACGCCCGCCGCCGCCGACCCCCCAUCUGGGAGGAUCAGCGACGCCGCCCAGUCGUCCCCCGCAGGGCUAAGCGCCGCCAUCGACGACGACGCGAGGUAGGCGGCCGGCAGCUGAGGAAUCAGCAGGCGCCCGUGCUGCUGAUCGCCCGCCGCCGCCUCUAGUCCGUCCAUUGUUAGCGCCGGCCGGCGAGGUUAACGUCGUCGUCGAUCAGUGGACGGACGGACGGACAGGUGCACGGCGGCGGCGCGCGGUGAGUAUAUAUAGGCGUACGUGUGCAGGUGCAGCUGCGAGGGUUAGCUGCGACUGGAAGUGGAAGGUGAAGGGCGGUGUGAGCGGGGAAGGUGGGGGUGGGCAAGCGUGCAAGCUGCCUUCACCUCUCCCGCGUCUCAAACUGUGUACACCAAGCUGAGAGAAGAGUGAGCAGCCAUAGACCGAUCAACCACCUCAACUACUGCCGAUCUACUGAUCUCUCUCUCUCUCUCUCUCUCUCUCUCUCUCUCUCUCCCCAUAAGCGUGUGCAGAUUAAGGCGUCGUCAACGGCACGAGACCGCAAUUAAAAGAUUGUUUACGAAAACUACUACGUUUUGCAUUACGUGUCCACAUGCACACGCACGCACGCACUGGUUAAACUAAAUCGUGGUGUAAUUUGUAAUUAACGUGUAGGGUUCAGGCAGGUUUGUUCGCCGAACGAGGGAGAGAUAUCAAACCGUCGUAAUCGUUGUAGUAUAGUUUUUGUUCACGUAGUGUUGGUUUUAUAUGUGUCAUGCGUGGUCAAUUGCGUCCGUUUGAUCCUGUCGAGUACUUAACAAGAAAAAAAAAGAAAAUAUAUAUUUUCAUUAAUAUUUUGCAUUUAUAUACCUGCAUGAAAAAUAUUUGCAUAAAUAUACCUCUACUGUAUAACAGGGACGCAGAAUUAAGGUGGUGCCGCUCUUCCAUACCGUGGGACUAGUGGUUGCGCAGGACGGCCGUGCGGCACCGCUUUGGUCCUGCGGCAUGGAAGUGCGGCGCCAUGACCCGGGUGUGCGGCAACGUGAUGGAGGGCAGGAACACGUGGGGCAGUGUCGGUGCCGCACAACGGCUACACAGGAACGCGUCAAUGGCGUGCAACGGUGACGUCGGGCCGCCUCGGUGAUGCGCAACGGCGACGCAGGACUGCCUCGGGACCGUUUCGGCCCGCGCGCCACCACUCUGUCGCUCCCCGGGCUGCGGGAGCAAGGCGGUGCCACAUGCUCGUCCUGCGCACCCACCGGUCCUGCGGCAUGGAAGAGCGACACUGAGGCGGUCCCGUGUCUCCGUUAUGUGGUAGAGGUAUAUUUGAGCAAUUUUUUUCUAUGCAGGUAUAUAAACACAGAAUACUAUUAAAAAGAGUAUACUUUCAUUUUUUUCCUUUACAAAAUGUGUUUUGUCGUAUAUUUUUGUACGGCUAAUGGGCUUUCAACUAUCGCUCAGGCUGGGCCUUUUGUUUGGGCCUGGCCCAAUACUCUUUUGGAGUAAAGAGAAGCACUGGCGAACGCGCGCACACAUCACCACAGCACACCGUUUUUAAAACAAACUAGGAAUUGGAAAAGAAAAUAAGUCAGAAAGGAGAAGAAAAUUCAUGGAUUGCUUGAAGGGAUAGUAACAGUUGAAACGUCAAAGAUUAGCGUCUUAAUUUUACUGCACCACAAACGGAAAUAUCCGUUACGUUUGCUAAAUUUUGCUCUCUUUGGCUGGAAAUAUUGGACGACGUGUGCAUGGCUGCAUGCUCAUGUACGUCCUCCGUUUCAUAUUAUAAAACUUUCUAGCAUUACCCAUAUUUAUCUAUAUGUUAAUGAAUCUAGAUAUAUAUGUGUGUCUAGAUUUAUUAAUAUCUAUGUAAAUAUAGGCAAUGCUAAAAAGUAUUAAAACCUAAAACGGAGGCAGUACAUAAACAAUUGUGCAUGUCCUGAAGUACUACUCCUGUGUUUUAAAAAAAAAUUUCUAGAGAUGUAUUUGGACAACGUACAUGUCAAAGAUAUACAUCCUCAUGAUUAGAUUUUUUUUUUAAAACGGAGAGAGAACACGUCACUCUUAUUUUAGAAAGAUAUAAUGACCUCUCCCAUUUCAUUAACGAAAUGACAACUUGCAGUUUCUGGGGUUCCUAGAACACCCAUUCCUCCCACAAAAGAGCCUGUAGAUGACAGGUACUAGUACUACAUGACAUCGAAUUAGCAGAGGAACAUCCCAAUUAAUGGGUGUCAAGUCGCAGAUCUCUUUCAGAAAUUAAGAGGGUGCAGACACGCAUAUGUUUAGUUGUUGUCAGUAUUCGCGACAUAUGCGUGGCUCCGCCUGGUAUUGAUUAGAUUGAAUUUCGUUUGAUGCUAACUGAUUUCAGAUGUUUUAGUUUCUGGCUAGUAUAGUUGUUUUUCUCAUAAUCUAUGUAUAAACAUAUUGCCGAAUAUUUUAAUUUGAUUAGUAAAACAACCAGCAAGUGAAACGUAUGUAUCUCAGCAAUCAAACAUAAGCGUAUAGUUGGUGCCAGUCUUAACCAAAAUGUCAACUCCGCAUAUCCAAUAGCCACAUGCUGUCAAUUUUUAAAUCUCACAUCGAUGUUUGUUAAGAGGUGGUGAGGCUAGCCGGUAAGACCCUAGGUCUUUCUCCGUGCUGUCAGUUUUGGAGAUUUGGUUACUGUGCAGUGCAGUGCAGUUGCUACUGUAACUGCAAGUGGCACCACCUCAUGAAUCAAAGCAAAAUGGCAAGACCAACUGUAAUACUAUUGUAGCAGCUGAUUUGAACUGUUAAUUAGAUCAGAAAAUAAACAAGCACAAUAGCAACUGCAUUGGAUAUUUGGAUCUCUGUUACAGUUUUUGCCUCUCAGCUCCCCAUCAGCGAUGUCUCCCUCUCCUGUUCAUGAUGCCCUUUCCCUUUCCUGCUUUUCCAAGGAGAGGGGUCGCAAGCCAUCAUCACGCAAGCCAAAACAAGAGUAGAUUCAUUACCAAGGCCAGGCCAAACAGAGCAAAGUUCUCUAACAUGUGGAACCUGAAAAUCGUCGCUUCCGCGAAUUGCAUGAUGUUUACACCCGGCCUUGGCUGUUUCUGCCAAAUCGGUUGGCCAAUCAAAAACAAAACAGCUCCAAAAACGGCAGGACGGUACACACACUCGCCAUCCAUGGAGCAUCUACAACAGAGCUAAGGAGAAGGUUUGGCUGGACGACUCCUCCCUUUGGACGACUUCCAUUGCAUAUGAAUGUCAUGAGCAAUCCUUCUCGCAUCGGCAGCCGUUCCCAUCAGGCCACGACGGGAGAAUCCCACGGAGUAUAGACCCCUCUCGCCCUUCCACCCGUUUGGAAACGCUUUCCUUGGCAACCCAUCUUUUUCUGAAAACAGCCCUUGGUCCUGCUCAAAGUGAGCCAAAUGGCGCCAAAAAAGAGGCCAAAGAGUCAGGAGGUACACAAAUUUCAUUUGUAUGAACUUGUUUCAAAUUGGCUGUAGGUUGUCUUGAGUGACUGAAUAUUAAACAAAACACUGGAUACGAGAGGAGGAGCCCUCAUAUCGGAAUUUAUUAAGAAAAGUGAGGCUCGAACCUAGGUUGGCAAGCCCACCACCUUAUGGUGCUAGCCGCCUAGCCUGAAGACCGCUCAACCUUUCUAGGUGACUCAAUAUUGGUGAACACGUUUUUCAGGAAAAGAAAUACUGAAAUUCUUCUACAGCAAAAGGAACAUCAGCUGUAUUGCCAUAUACCUUUAACCAGCAGGGAACGUUGCUUUUGUAGCCGGUGGCAAGUACAAUGGCGUCAAACUGCUCUGAACGACCAUCCACAAAUUUUACUUGCUGCCCUGCAAUUCUUCUUAUGGCAGGUCGGACCUUCACAAGAAAAAAUCAUCCAGAAAAUAAAUCAACCCAUGAUUGUAAGAGGCUAUGAAUGUUCAUGAAUAUUUUUGGAAAAAUAGUGAAAAUAAACCUUUAUAUCUCCAGACUUGAUCUUUGCAAGAGUGCCAAUGUCAAGGAUGGGUGUCUUUCCUGACAGUGAUUUCAGCUCAAGUGGCCCAAGACUAGGCCUUUUCAACCCAAAUUGUGAUGUAUCACCAAGAAUCGCUCGUGCAACAAGCAGUAAAAUCCGGUCUACGAUAUGGAUCGGCAACCAUUUGAGCAGCCACAUUGCAAGCCGGAAGGUCGGCUGACCUAGCAUCUCCCUGGGCAAGAUGUGCACCUGCAAACCCAUGAUCCAAAAUUUCUUAAGGCACGCUAACGAGGUUAAAGCUUUUGUUUUUUUUUGGCUUGGUGAUUGGAACAAAUGUUAAUCAGAACUAAUUUUACAGUGAGUAAUAUGCCUGUGAAAGUAUGGGUUUCAUCCUUAUUUCCUCGUACCCAACACAGUAUACUAUAUCUAACAAUAUAAGCUGAUUUAGCAAUUUGUAACCAAACCCAUGCCAUUUCAAAAUUUUAGAGCCAUCAGAAAGGACUGCCUUUGUCAAGAAAACUAGGUUCUCAAUCUAUUGUACUAGUGUUUCGUAACGAUGUGUUCUCAUUGCAGUGACAAGGUGCCAUGCACCACUUAGUGCUUUCAUUUUUUUUGAAAAAAAAACUCUAAAUAAAAAAUUAGACUUUACAACCAAGUUUUUUUAAAAAAAACUAAAACAGACAGUAAAACUGCUAAUUAUAUUUCAACAAGUGGAAAUAAAAACCCUAGGUGGGUUGCAAGAAAAGAAUACAGAACCACCGGCUGGCUGAACAACCACACAACACUCGCCAUAACUUAGAACAACCUCACUAACAAUUGAAACCACUGACGGAGCCCGACAUAGGGCAUCGUUACUAAGCUUGACACAUAAACAACAUAGGAGGUUCGACUUUGGGCAGAAAACAUUUUAAGAGAGAAGUAAUCAAUAGACCAAAAUAAUUUGGAUGAAUGCCAUGAAUUGCUCAAAUAUUAAAGAUGCACAAACACCAUGGAAGUAUAGGGCAAGUGUUGCUCCUGGUGCACUUUCUAACAAACACAGGCAUUAGGUCAAAGAACUAACUAAAGGAAACCAACAAGUAAACAUCCCACAUACUAUAAUCUACAUGUGAGUUUUAUUGGGCAAAGAAUGAAUAUAAAGUAUAAACAACUAUAUAUUACACAGAAUGGCAUAAACUAUAAAACAAGUAUAAAACUAACAGGCAUAGAGGAAAAAUCACAUACUGCAUCUCUUACUACAAUACGAGGGUAACCAUUGUGGUUGCACAGGUCUAGGCACACCUCCAUGCCAGAGUUGCCACACCCUACAACAAGGACAGUCUUCCCAGCGAACUUAGAACCGCUCUUGUAUGCGCUAGUGUGGAUGACACUUCCUCGAAACUCUUCCAAGCCAUCGAUCACUGGCAGCACGGCCUCUGAAUUCUCUCCGGUUGCAACAACCAGCCACUGCGACACAUACUCAACAUCAUCUUCCAUCAUGCCAGUGGCCUGUGUAGUCCUCACCCGCCAUAGCAUCAGUCGCUCGUCAAAUUCUGCGCACACCACUGUAUGGUUGUACAUAGGAUUGAUACCAAACUUUGCAGCAUAGCUCUCCAGGUAAGCCACAAACUGCUGCUUUGUGGGGUAAUCAGGGUAGCUGGCAGGGAAAGGAAAGAGAGGAAGUUCACAGAACUGACGAGGUAGAUGAAGGCUGAGGCGGUCAUACAUCUUGAGCUGCCAUAGAGGAGCUAAGCAGCUCGAGCGCUCAAGAACAAGGCUGUCGAUUCCCUUCUCCUUCAGGCAUGCAGCAGCAGCGAGUCCAGAUGGCCCUGCGCCAACAACUAUUGGCCCUUGAACCCAAACAAGCUGGUGGGAACAACACAUAGCAGCAGGAGGUAUGCAUGCAACUCUCCUCUUGUGGCGGUUUUUGAUGGAUCAAUGGUGCUUUUGGUUGUAGAAGGUGUCAACUGUCAAGGAAAUAGGAUCACAAGUUCACUUGCACUCAUUUUCCUCCCCAGAAAUUCAUGAGAAUGGCUUAGCUUUGAUAUGCUUGAUGAUGGUGUUCUCUUGAUCUAACUAAGAAUACAUGAUUGUGUUGGGUACUUGGGUCAAGCACACAUGGUGGAAUAAUGAACUAGCAAAGCUACAUCUGAUUUCGAAGGGUAGCAGGGGAGAUAAAUACUCUCAAGAAGAAUUGGCACAAACGUUGUCCAGUUGAAGAUACCAUGUUGGGAGGGCAUGUACUGUAUGUACAGUGGUGUAGUCGAUUAUUCCCCUUUUGGGGUGGCUAAUUAAUGUCUCUAUCUUAUAUGCAAAUACCAAAGUAAAUAGGAUGUGUGUUAUUACCUCAUGCAUUCAAGUGUUUGCUCAAAGGCACUGUUCAUGGUAAUCACAAAUAAAUCCUUAACAAGAUAGGUCGGAUACAUUUAUAUUGUGUGUGCAUGUGCAAGAAACUGACUUGCAGAUGCAGAGAUGUUCAGGGAACAUAUGUCUGAAGCGUAUUUGAUGGACAAUCUUCAAGAAUUUAGACAUUCAGGGGACAUAUGUUGACAUUGUACAUAAUAUUUGUACUGUUAAUAGGGAAAAGUUACACAAGAUUGUAUACAAAACUCCAUGGGAAGAUGUACCUUUUCCUUUGUAGCCAGUCGAUCUCAAGAAGGGUACUCCUGGAGUUUUGGCAUGUAACUCCUGGUUUUCCUUGCUUUAAUAACAGAAGUCAUUUAAUGGGUAAACCAAGCAAGUCAGUAGGAACAUGCAUGCAUAUAACAGCUAAAGCAGGCGUAAUUUGUUAUCUCAAUAUAUUUUUCCACCUAAUGUAAAGCACGCUUAUUAAGUAUUACUCAUGAUACAAUACAUGAUACUACUAUCUCGUAGUAGUCUACAAUCUGGAAUGUGUUUUCACCUUGCUAAAGUAAUUAUGUUGGAGAGUUUGUGUUCUAUGAGGCAUCAACACUAGCCUAUAGUAAUAAAGCUAUCAUUUCGAGAACAGUAGGGAAGUUCACAACUGAAGUAAAUUUAUUAAUACAUUAAUAACAGUAGAGUCCUCCAGACCCAAGUGUCUAAGAGAAGCACACUGUCUAAGAGAAAAAGGAUUUUCAUUAACCAAGCAUGAAGAAAUUAGCAUUUGACCCCAAGUGAAACAGGGACAACGAAACAUCAGUAAUGAAGAAUUCACUCAUUCAGAGCUGAUAGGCAAAGUAAUUGCAUAUCAACAUUUUGGAGUAGUUAAGACUGCAGAAAAUAUUCAUGCAUGAAUAAUAAUGGAGCAAAUCCUAACAAGACAAUAUGUAUAUUAAAAAAAAAUAUUAAACCAAAAUAUUUUGCUUCUUUUGGAAGGCUAUUGGAACUGCACGUCGAACCCACCAUUAUCACCCAUAGCUGACAGACAUCAUCUAUAGAUUUGUGGCCCAUAUCUUAUGAAUGACCUUGUAGAGCAACUUGUCACACCCCAAUCUGAUACCGCCGUACAACGGCACCUGACAGGAGUGUGUCGUAGGGAAAACGGUGCGAACCGCUUCCUACGAAACCGCGAUCUCGGUACCAGUCCCAGGACAUAGUGCUGGUACCCACGGUGACAAAUAUGAAUCAUAGCAAUCUUUAAAAUAAAUAGAGGACUUAUUUACCUUAACUUAGGCUGCAGCUCAGACAGCCCGAGAAUACAACCGACGACACGGACGAGGCGAACACCAACAACAGCAGCAGCAGAACCAACGGUCUAAUACCCAACACCACAGGCGACGGCUGGGAACCAGGACGAAACCCUAAUCUUCACUUCACUUUAUCUUCUCUUCAGGGCGGAGGAACUAUAUAUAUAUAUAUAUUUAUAUAGAGCAAUGGUGAGUACUUUCGUACUCAGCAAGUCACGGGAACUUAGGUGUUUAAUGCAAGCUUGGAAGAGAGGCAAGGUUGUUUUGCAAAUCUUUUAUUUGAAGACAUUUUGAAAUCACUAAGUGAUUUAUUUCUUUCUAAGUUUGGGCCGAAAAGAGACUUGCGUCUCGAUUCGACUUUAAGAGAUGUUUUUCAACAGCUCAUUUGGUAAUGUACCGACCUCCUGGUUCAGAUCAUUACUUCUCGGCUCCCAGAGCCAUUCCACUUGAUUAAUCGGCUCCCAGAGCCUUUUUCAUUUUCUCGGACUCCCAGAGUCCAGCUGCCCAGCAGCACAACAACCCGCUUCCACUCGGGAAGCCUAGUCUAUGAUGCCCGCAGACAUCCCGAAUCACACAGAUUCGUUUCUGACCACUCAGGUCGUCCAUCUGCCACAUAGGCUGAUUCUGGUUACGAUUCCCACACCACAACAACUUUUCACAAAGCACAGGCAAACAAAUCUACGCAACGGGAACCACCUCACAUCCGCCCAUGACUGUGGGCACGGCUGUUCGAACUUUACCCACCUCUGCAGAGGGGUACACUUUACCCACAAGACACGAACUUACUCCAGACACUGGCCGGUGUCAGAGGUUCGCGACAAAGCCUUUCCCAAGCCGACCCAGGGUUACCUCAUGCCACAUAGAAGGAUCAAAUCCUCAUGUAAGUAUAGGCCAUUUUAGGCAUUCACAAAUCAAGUCCAACCACCUUGAUCGGUAAGUGAGCAAGCUUCUCGUCCUUGCCUUACCAGGAACCCGGUUUGUCCGACCCCGCCCCGGCGUUCCCAACUAUUGGCAUGCGAGGUUUCCCUGAACCGACUAGUUACUUAGCCAGGGUGUCUCAUUCCACCUUGUGGUUGCACUUUGAUUAUGUUCGAUGAGUUUCCCACAGGAAUCGGUCCUUAUAUGCGAAUACGGGACAGUGCCACAUAGGCACAACCCCCGCAUCGCGAGUUUUCACAAUUCAUUUUAUUUUCAAACACACCGACACCACAUGUCGGGUUUUGAAGGCUUCACAAACCCAUUUCCCAAGUUUUCGACAAACAACGGUGUAUGUGGGAUAUUUGGUAUACGCGCUCAGAGAGCACGAAUACCGAGGUACCACAAGGGUGGAGCGACAAGGAAUCAGGGUAGUACGACCUACAGAAAUUAGUGCGACUACUGGGUAGGUCCGUCGGUUUGGCACGCAAACCGAGGCCAAGCAAGUUAAGUGUGUGAUUCUAAUAAUGCAAGUUGCAAACAAAAUAAUAAUGACUUUUCAAUUAUAGGAGCAAUUGAUCAAAGGGUGACUUGCCUUGCUCAAGGUCUUCACGAAGCUUCACGAAUCUUCGAGAAAACCCGCGAUCGACGAAAAUCCGAUAACCGCAACUAUACGCAAACAAUCGAAAACCUAAACAAAGGACCAAAAGAAAGAUCCUAUUUAGACUAAUUAGUAGUGCCAUUAAAUAGAUCUCAAUUUUACGGAAUUACUGGAAGUGGAACGGAGGCGAUCGGAGCUACGGAUCGAGGGAUAUGAAUUUUGGAGGUCUAAAUGGAUUUUCUGGACAAGGAAAUGUUUUGUCGGAAUUUAUGGAAAUAAUAUUCUCAAGAAUAUUAUUGACAGUCACUGACCAAGGAAAAUGAUUCAUGGAAUUUUGGAAUAAGGAAUUGAUUUCUGAAAGAGGGAAAAAUGAUUUAUUGAAUUUAUAGAAAAGAGAAAUAUUUGUGGAAUAUUGGAAAAGACAUUCUCAAGAAUAUCUUUGACUCAUUGACAAGUGGGGUCAACAAGAAGGUGAGAGAGAAUAAAAUUGAGAGGGAGCAAAUUUGGACUUUUAGCUCAUGAGAGAUGGACACUGACUUGGACGGAGGGAGGAAUAUGGACUUUUAGGCCGAGCGUGAGGCGCGGCCCAAUGGGUAGAAGGAGGCUCGGCCGAGCCAUUGGGCCGGCGCGGGCGCAAGGAGGCGGCCCAUUAGGGGCGCGCGGAAGGGAAAGGGGGCAGUCCGGGUGGACCGAACCCACCAUGCGAGGUCCCGGGUGGGGCCCGCAUGUCGGCGACACGGUUCACGGAGGGAUGGGAGCACGCGGGCGGCGUUUAGGGUUUCGGGUGGAUGCGGCUCACGAUUGGUGCGCCGGGUGGACCGAGGCGCGACGGGCCCACGUGCAGCCGCAUGGCGCACCGUGGUCCGUGCGCACGGAGGGGGCUAGCCAGGCUGGCCGGUUUGACUCGGUCUAGCCGAGUUGGCACCGACGUGGCGCCUACGUGGCAGCCACGCAGGCCGGCGAGAGGAGGAAGACGAGACCGACCGGGAGAUGGACGGCAGGCGGCGGCGCGCGUCGGCGGAGCGGCCGCGAGGCGAGGCGGGAGGAAGGGAGACCACCGGAGGGAGGGAAAAGGAGACGCAGACUCCAUUCCUCGGCUCGGAUGUGGCCGGAACUGGACGGAGGCGGCGGAUUUCGACGGCUGCCACCGGCGGCGAGCAAAAGGGGGAAAACACGCCGGGAGAGAAUGGGGUCAAUUCGUGGUGGCGGGAGCAUCUCUAGGACUCUGGGAACUUGUUCUCGGGGUCGGAUGGGGCGGAGAGACUCUGAGAGAGGCCGGCGACAGCGAGGCGCGGUGCGGGGAAGGGCGGAACGCCGCCGGGGAGGGAGAGGGGUCCAGCGAUCAAAGCGGCGGUUCGGGAGUGUUCUACGGUGAUCCAGGAGGGUGGCAACGAGGAGGAUUAGGUGAAGAGCUCACCGAUGGCGAUGAACGGCGUCGAUGGCGAGCAAACGGGAAGCCGGCGAAGGAAAACGGCCGGGCUUCGGGGAGGGCGGCGCCAGGUCUGGAGGAUGGUGUUCACGGCGGGCAGCACCGCGUUGGCCGAGCGGCGACGCAAGGCGGCGAGGAAGGGAACACCAGCGACGGAGGAGGCCGCGGCGUUGGGCGAGCGUUCUUGGCCUGAGAAACGGUGCGAUGGUGGAGAGGCUAGGAGCCGAACGAGGGAGGGGAGUGCGGGUUUUAUAGGCGCGGGGUGAGGCGAUGUCGGUUUGGGAGGGGAGAACCGACCUUGGCGGUCAAGCGCUCGGCUGGCGGCAGCGGCGGUUUCAUGGGCGAUGCGAAAGUGGCGACGGCGUGGAUGCUUUGGGCGGCGAAGGCGGUGGAUCAGACGGCCGAAUUUCGGGUCGUGAGCGCGGGCUGGCGGUCGCGCCCGUGGUCCAGGCGGUGGCAGGCGGUGACGCCGAUGGUGGUUGGGAAAGGGAAAAAGAAGGGGAAAAAGAGAGGCUCGCUCCAAGCCGAUUCGGGAAGGGAGUAGGAGGGAGAGGGAGAGCUCGGCCUCCGGGUUUUGGCAAGAAAAGCGUGGAGCGGCUCGAGCACGCGCGCGGGGCCGUGCGGCUGCGCGGUGCAGCGCGGCAGGGCAGCGAGGCUGGUGCGGCGGCGACCCACGCGCGAGCGCGUGCGCGCGGACGCGAGGGCGCGGCAGGGCUGACGGCGGCAACGACCGGCCGGUCGGCCACGCGCGAGCGCGGGAAAGAGCGAAGGCGGUGGCGGGUUUUGGGCGGCGACGGCGGGAAGCGGCGAUGGCGGCAGCGCUGGCGUGGGAGAGAGAGAAAGGAAGCAGAGAGAGAGAGCGAGGAAAGAGAGAGGAAGAAGAGAGGCGAUGCCUCUCUCUCUCGGCGCGUGCAGCGCACAUGGAGGUGGAGGGAGCUGAGUAGAAAUGGGCCGAGCAAGGGAGAAACGGCCCACAACCAAGAAGGACGCAAUUUAGACUUUUUCCAAGAGAACUGAUUUGGUGGGGGGGUUUCAAUUGGAGAGAAUUUGAGAAGGAUUUUUGGAAUUUAACCUUGAUACUUUGACUUUAGGAACAUAAGGUGAAGUCAAGGGAAGGAUUCGAGGCGAGAUUUGAAUAAUUCUGGAUUCGUAGAAGUAUUUGGCGAGGAUUCAAAGGAAGGAUUUGAAUUUCAGAAUUUGAUUUCAGAGACUUGAAUCGGAAAAGGAAUUUUUCGAGGUGGAGGAUUUCGAUUUCGAUGAGAGGGAACAACGGGAUUAAAUUGAGAUCCUUGGCACAACUUAGACUCUCACACAAAGAACGAAAAUUUUCGCAAUUAGGAUUUUGCCGAAUUAGUUUUUAACGACUCACGAAAAGCGGAGCGUUACACAACUGUUGUACCUAGUUGUUCAAAGGUCCCCUCGAAACAAGGAUGCCAAGAAAUGGCUUUGUGGCUUGAUCAAAGUUCUGAUGAAAUAUAGCUUAAAUUUAUAGACAGCGGCAAGAACAAUCUCCAGUCUAACUUAUCUCUAAUAUAUUAUAAAAAUUGAAGAUGUUUUUGCCAGUAUUUUGGUACGUCAUCCGUGUAUGAGUCGGUUUUUAAGUUCGUUUGCUUUUGGAAUCUAUCUAUUUCUAUUCUACUAUUAUAAAAAUUGAAGAUGUUUCCGCGGUCUGUCAUCCGUGUUUGAGUCGGUUAUAAAAAUUAAAGAUGUUUCCGCGGUUCGUCAUCCGUAUUUGAGUCGGUUUUGAUUUUAUGUUUUGGUUUUAAUCUAUAUCUCUUCUCUAUCUCUACUAUUAUAAAAAUUGAAGAUGUUUUGCCGAUAUUUUGGUAUGUCAUCCGUGUAUGAGUCGGUUUUUAAGUUCGUUUGCUUUUGAAAAUAUAUAUCCGUAAUUGAGUCGGUUUUUAAGAUCGUUCACUUUUGGUAAUACAGAAGAAAUCAUAUAAGAAAUCUGUUUUAAAAAAACUUGCAUGCUAACUUGAGACGAUCGGACUUCUAACUGCAGCUCAUGAUUUUCUAAAAAUAUAUAUAUCCAAGCAAACUCGCACAGUGAAUUUCAUCUUAACUAAACCAUAUAACAAUAAUAAGAUUAAAGUAGAUUUCCCCGUUGCAACGCACGAGCAUUUUUUAUAGUAACUUAAAUUUGUGACAUGGUAUGAAGGACGAUUAUUAAAAAAUUCACAGCUGAUGAAAACAGCACAGCCUUCUUAUAAUCUCCAGUCUACUAAUUUUGCACCUCGGAUCUCACAAGUAUUUUUGUAUUUUACCACUGUCCAGCAAUGGACCGUGGAUAGAAGUAAAUUGUGUUGCAGGCCAAAAACAACUGAUACGUUGGAGGGAAAACUGGUUUUUAAGGUUGAACAGAACUGUGUCCCGAUUGUUUUUCUAGCUUGACGGUGAUUGCCAAGGAAACAGCCCCCGCUUCGCCUCCUGCGUGGGCGACUCGAGCGGCGGAAAUCUAGCCGCCACCGCCCCCCUCCAACUCUCAUCUCUGCCUCGCCGCCGCCUGAGCGAGUGGCCGGCAAAGCUGGCGGGGCUCGCGGCGGCGGUCACCCCCGGUUCCGGCGCGGAGGACCAAAAGAUGGAGCCGGCCACAUCAAUGCCGGCAUUGAGGCGGGUGCACGGAAGAGGUGGAGGCGGGGAAGGCGCCGCCGGAUCUGGGCCAGAGGCCGGUGGCAUGGCGCUGGCGACGACGUCCAGCUCCGGGGCCGCCGAGCUCGGAUCCGGCCGGAUAUAGUGCUCUCACCACCGGCGGCGUCGUCGAUCUUGGAGGGGCCAGGAGGCGUGAGGUGGUGGCGGCCCUGUGAUGGGGGCGGCCGGAUCUGGCGCCCCUUGGCCAGAUCCGUUGCCCUACCGGCCGGAAGGACGACACCGAGCUGUCAAGGCGAGGUGGGGGCCGGUGCGCCCUUGCCAGUGCGGGGAUGGCUGCGGGAGGCCAGUGACAGAGGAGGGGGCUGGGCGCGUGCAACGGAGGGGGGGUGCGUGCCCUCGUCGGCGCGGAGACAGUGGCGGCCGCCUGCUGCGCUCACCGGCGGUUGCGGGAGAGAAUCUUGGCGGCGGCGCAGCGGAGUGUGGGCGCUCGUGGUGAUGAUGGCAGCGGCUGGCCGAGCUUUGACAGCCGGAUCCAUGGUCGCCUUGGCCGGAUCUAGUCGGGUCGGCGGCGUUGCGGGCGCUUGUGGCGACGGGUCACGCUUGGUCAACCCGUGCAGCAGAGGAUGGCAACGGCAUGGCAGCGGGCUAGGCUUGGUGGCUAGAGGGACGAUGUGGUGGUCCGGCAAUGUACGAAGUGCGGGUGGGUUGUGUGGUUUUGGAUGACGCUGGCGAAAGCCUUGGCUGGCCUUUGAUUGGCUUGACAACAGCGGCGCCAUUAGGCGUCGUUUCCCUCCUUGGAGGCGUUGUUAUGGCGCCUUCUCUCACUACCAAAACCUUCCCGUGCAACGAUGGUCGUUCGUGGGCCCCCGGCGAGGCCUUCACCUCCUGGGUUCCAUUCUUGGAUGUGGUGAGCGUCCAACUUUCUUCGUUUUCUUCUAGGUGAAGUCGGAGCUGUUUUGUUGUGGUGCAAUGAAGUUUGGCAACGAUAACACGUUGUAGUCUUCGAGGGGUGUUGGUGCUAGCUGUGUUCAAGAAGUGGUGCUCUGGCGGCUUGGGCUGAUGUUCAAAGUGGACAAUCGGUGACUUGCUCGUUUUUGCGAUGCUUUUGGCAACGAUGAUGUGAUAGCCGUGGAGUCGGAGCUGCCGUGUCACUAGGCGACAAGCUCGGCAAUGAUAGCACUUGCCUCGUGAAAGUCGAAGUCUUUGUGUCGCUUACAACAAGCUCUUUAUCGAUGGUUGUUUUGGGCUCCACCAUUGUUCUUUUUUCACGCUUUUGGUAGCUUAGGUUAGUUAGAGUAGUGUGGUUUUCGCUCAGUUUCCCCUAAUUAACUGUGCAUUGUAAGGUUUGGUCUCGUUUUUUUUUAAAUGGGACACCUUCUUAAUAUAAAACGUAGGCAACAGCCUGACCAUUUGAAAAAAAAAAAAGGUUGAACAGAGCUAUAGAGACAACAUUGUUUUCAGAAACAGGGCCAGGACAGUAGCAAGAGUCUGUUUACCUACUGAAUUCUCCACUUAUUAAUACAUCCAGACUAUAUUGUCUGUUACUAAAUUUCCUUACAGUUUUAGUUUGGAGAAUAUAUCCUAAGCAACCUGUCCUCUAGUGAUGUAGUAAACAGUGAGGUUCACUAGAUGCAGCUUGUCUGCUAUGCAGUCAUAACUUUCUCCCAGUCCCUCUUCAGUAAUUCAGUCUGUGCACCAUGAUCUCUUGGGUGUCCACUUGGACUUUUGCAGCCAUAGCCACUCUCAAAAUGCUAAUGUCUUUAGGUUAUUGAUGAAACAGCUCCAGUGUAUUUUGUGUCAGUUUGUUAAGAGUGAACAGUCCUCUCACAUGGCAUGGAUCCCAUAUCAAAACAUGCGCGCCAGCAAUUAGUACUACAGGACAUGGUUUGUGCUCUUGUGAAGGUUUAUCACUCCAAUGAGAGGCCAUGGUUUGGACAGCAAGAAUCAAGAGGUUUUUGGAUCAAAGUUCUGCUAAGGCUGUGUUCGGACGUCCAUUUUCCCAACUUAUCUCCCUCGUUUUCCGCGCGCACGCUUUUUAAACUGUUAAACGGUGUGUUUUUUGUAAAAAGUUUCUAUACAAAAGUUGCUUAAAAAAAUUAAAUUAAUCCAUUUUUGAAAAAAAAUAGCUAAUACUUAAUUAAUCACGCGCUAAUGGAUCGCUCCGUUUUCCGUGCUACUGUUCCAAGUCGCACUCUACAUUACUCUACUGCUCUUUACGUAACAUUAUUAUAAACUACCGUUCUUCAGGGAUGAAUUGUUUCCAGAACUACUCCCUCCGUUUCAAAAUGUUUGACACCGUUGACUUUUCAGUACGUGCUUAACCAUUCGUCUUAUUCAAAAAAUUUAAAUAAUUAUUUAUUCUUUUCGUAUCAUUUGAUUCAUUGUUAAAUAUACUUUCAUGUACAUAUUAGUUUUACAUAUUUCACAAACUUUUUUUAAUAAGACGAACGGUCAAACAUGUGCUAAAAAGUCAACGGUGUUAAACAUUUUGAAACGGAGGGAGUAUAAGACAAGCAUCUUCUCAAUUUGACAGUCUCUUACAAAGAAAUGUGGUGUACAAGCUAGGUUCGUUAUAUUUUUUUUAGCUAAUUCUAGCAAAACCUGAAGAUGCUUUAAGAAUCAAUACUAACAUUGGAUUAGUAAAUGUUGCUAAUUUUUUCCCUAAACAACAGCAUAGUGCAGGACAGAUAUAUAACCUGUCACAAGGAGUUCCAUUCUUCCAUAUUCAUAUCCUAACAGAACUUGAGCUACCCCAAUGAUAUCAAGUAAUAUCUGGUGGCUGGUGUGCACGUUUACUUUUGUAUGUACAGUUGUCUGUGAACUAUGUACAGCAAGCACGCUAACAUAAAAAUUCCAAAAGUCAUAAAAGAAACCAAACAGUGAUAAUUGGUCCAUUUGCUAAUUUAUACACUAGGUUCAUAGCUAGGACAGGAAUCAUACCCUUCAUAUUUGCUACUUUGAAAACGAUGGCAACAUUUUCAUCACUCUUCUCGCCAAGCAUGAGAACAAUCAUACGAAGACAAAUAGGAUCCAAAACUGUUAGGAUCAAAAAGGCCUGAGGCUGCAAAUCAUCACCAAAAUCCAGUCACCACAAAAAGGCCACCUGGCAACUUGCAAAAGAAUAUUCUAAUGACCUUUGUCAAGAAGGAUAUCUCAAGACUUGGAAUAACGCACAAAGUAAAUUAGUAUCACAUGGCAAAAAGAAAGUGGCAUUAUACUAUCACAUUUCACUGUCCUGUAGUACUACAGGUCUACAGCAGACAUAAGUCUAUAUCACAUUUCCCUUUUCUUCGAAAUAAAGUACGGAUGAAAAGCAGGAAUCAGAAAUUAAUCAGAUUACGAGUGUAAUUUUUUAAGAGCAUAGUGGUCGUGAGGGGAAACAUCCACCCACCGAAGUGUCUUUCGGCACAAAAACGGAUAUUUGUUCUAUCAGGUUUAUCUUAGAUAUCCCACUACCACAAGAGUAAAUUUGCUGGGAAAUCAUCUCAAUGAAAAAAAAAAACAUCUACUUCCCCUCACAAUGCAAGUCAUUCUAAUAUUUCCCACGUUUAUAUUGAUGUCAAUGAAUUUAGAUAUAUAUAUCUAUUUAGAUUCAUUAAUAUCAAUAUGAAUAUGGGAAAUGCUAAAAUGACUUAUUGUGAAACGAAACGGGAGAAGUACAAUUAAAGCGAAAGACUAUCUCCGUAGUAAACUAGUAAAAUGCAAUUAAAUUUCAGGCUUACUAGGCGGAGCCAAAGUAGAAGCGGAUUGGCGCAAACGAACGGGAAAGAGCCUCGCAAAUUCGCCAAACACGCCAUCGCGUUAACAUCUCCAAAUUGCCCACAAACGAACGGGAAAGAGGAGGAAUCACAAACGUAGCUCAGAUUCACACCUCGACAAAAGGACAAAAUCUUGCAGGCACAUCGACAAAAGUACGAGCAUUUCCUCCAGGACGGGGGAACCCAAAAUUUUCAGCCUCCCGCAGCCUCAACAGAGGGAGGAUCAGCAGGAGAUUUUAGGGUUACGGAUAGGGAAGGGGAGAAGGAGCGGCAGAUGUUGCGGCCGAAACAGCGGAGUCCGACGAAGCGAGCCGUGCGUAAGCCGAAAGAAUAGAAUAGUUCUAUAAAUACUUUGGGCCAGCUAGAUAAGGAAGCUAUUGGGUUUACAUUGUGAUGGGCCUGAUCAUCAAAAUAGAGUAGUACUGACAUGGGCUUUUCACAGCAGCAUCCACUGCUAAAAUAAACAUUAAAAAGACUAGGUUAAAAUACGCAAAUAUGAUUUAUUCAAUAUCAAUCUUAACAGGUUACAAAAGAUGACAGGACCAUUGUUUAAUUACUAAACAGCUAAAUAUUGUAGAAUUAACGGACUGAUACAAAACAGUGCGAAUGUAGCAGUCUGCAUUCAAUGUUCACGUUCUUCAGCCGCAAUUUUCAAUCCACAAUCCAGUCUGCAUUUAGAUCCUGAAAUUGAGAAAAAGUUUGACAGUUGGUAGUUUGAAAAAAAAUUAGAGUUUAUGUGAUUGUGAUGUGAUGAAAAGUUGGGAAUUUGGAGGAAGAUUGAUGUGAACUAAACAGGGCCCCAAUCCACGUUUAGUUCACACACAACUUCCCCCAAUCUCCCAACUUUCCAUCGCAUCUCCAUCACAUCAUGGUAGGUUCAUGGUAGGUUGUUGUAUCCACAGAUGCAGCACUACAGCAAGAUCAGUUCACGCUCAAGUUUAACACAAAUAGAAAGACGGGCUGUUAAGAUAGACAAAAUCAGAGAACAUAAAUUAUAUCAAAUAUGGCAAAAUAAAUAAAUCUUUAGUAACCGUUUUUGAGAUGGGUGCGUAAAGGCCGUCAGUUAGGAGCGAAAGACUAUUUAUUCAAAGUAAUCAUAACCACUAGGGUUUGAUCAUCUGAACUAUGCAUUUUUGCUCAUCACUCGACCUUGCAACCAAUUUACAUCCACAUCGGCAUCAAACCUCUUAAAAAAUCAUAGUUUUUAAAACCAUAUCAAAAAUCAAAAUAAGAUUUUUAGUCAGAUCCAAACAAUGAUAAGAGACCUCAGAAGGAAGGCAGUAGUAGGGUAUGUCCUCACAAGAUUUCAGAGAGAAAGGUUUCCACAUUGAUCAUCAUAGGCCUCAAAAGUAAACGAAAAGGAUAAAGAUGACGAAAAAUACAACACAAUGACAUGCAUCAAUAAAUCUGACCUCAUAGAGAAGAUUAGGCUUUUCCACAUGAAAAUUCAGACAUAUGCUUGUCUAUAUUUUAAUCUAAU
rnacentral:lncRNA from 1 species